AUUGAACGCUGGCGGCAGGCCUAACACAUGCAAGUCGAACGAGUGGCGGACGGGUGAGUAAGGUCUGGGAAACUGCCUGAUGGAGGGGGAUAACUACUGGAAACGGUAGCUAAUAACGCCUACCAUAGGAUAUGCCCAGAUGGGAUUAGCUAGUAGGUGGGGUAACGGUCUACCUCGGCGACGAUCCCGAGCUGGUCUGAGAGGAUGAACAGUCACACUGGAACUGAGACACGGUCCAGACUCCUACGGGAGGCAGCAGUGGGGAAUAUUGGACAAUGGGCGCAAGCCUGAUCCAGCCAGGCCGCGUGUGUGAAGAAGGUCUUCGGGUUGUAAAGCACUUUCAGCGGGGAGGCGUUACCCGCAGAAGAAGCACCGGCUAACUCCGUGCCAGCAGCCGCGGUAAUUC
rnacentral:rRNA from 1 species